rnacentral:rRNA from 1 species
GACGAACGCUGGCGGCGUGCUUAACACAUGCAAGUCGAACGAGUGGCGAACGGGUGAGUAACACGUGGGUGAUCUGCCUUUCACUUCGGGAUAAUCUUGGGAAACUGGGUCUAAUACCGGAUAUUGCAAGAUGAGCUCGCGGCCUAUUAGCUUGUUGGUGGGGUAAUGGCUACCUAGGCGCGACGGGUAGCCGGUCUGAGAGGGUGUACGGGCACAGUGGGACUGGGACACGGCCCCGACUCCUACGGGAGGCAGCAGUGGGGGAUCUGCCGCAAUGGACGAAAGUCUGACGGAGCAACGCCGCGGGAUGGAUGACGGCCUUCGGGUUGUAAAGCUCUGUUAAUCGGGACGCGGUACCGGAAUAGAAAGCCACGGCUAACUACGUGCCAGCAGCCGCGGUAAUAC